CAUGUAGGCGGUUAUGUAAGCUUGAUGUGAAAGGCAGGAGCUUAACUCCUGGACUGCGUUGAGAACUGCAUAACUGGAGUCACUGAGGGCAGGCAGAAUUCCAGGUGUAGGGGUGAAAUCUGUAGAUAUCUGGAAGAAUACCAAUGGCGAAGGCAGCCUACCAGCAGAUGACUGACGCUGAGGUGCGAAGGUGUGGGGAGCAAACA
rnacentral:rRNA from 1 species